ensembl:snRNA U4 U4 spliceosomal RNA
AUCAUUGCACUGUGCCAGUAUCACAGCCAAUGAGGUUUAUUUAAGGUGUGAUUAUUGCUAAUUGAAAACUUUUCCCAGAAUGCAUGGCUGGCUCAGUUGGGGGAAUAUGUGACUCUUGAUCUCCCAGUCUUGGA